rfam:Rattus norvegicus chromosome 15, whole genome shotgun sequence.
GGAGAUUUAGCUCAGUGGUAGAGCGCUUGCCUAGUAAAUGCAAGGCCCUGGGUUCGGUCCCCAGCUCCA